AGACCCGAAACCCGGUGAUCUAGCCAUGGGCAGGUUGAAGGUUGGGUAACACUAACUGGAGGACCGAACCGACUAAUGUUGAAAAAUUAGCGGAUGACCUGUGGCUGGGGGUGAAAGGCCAAUCAAACCGGGAGAUAGCUGGUUCUCCCCGAAAGCUAUUUAGGUAGCGCCUCGUGAAUUCAUCUCCGGGGGUAGAGCACUGUUUCGGCUAGGGGGCCAUCCCGGCUUACCAACCCGAUGCAAACUGCGAAUACCGGAGAAUGUUAUCACGGGAGACACACGGCGGGUGCUAACGUCCGUCGUGAAGAGGGAAACAACCCAGACCGCCAGCUAAGGUCCCAAAGUCAUGGUUAAGUGGGAAACGAUGUGGGAAGGCCCAGACAGCCAGGAUGUUGGCUUAGAAGCAGCCAUCAUUUAAAGAAAGCGUAAUAGCUCACUGGUCGAGUCGGCCUGCGCGGAAGAUGUAACGGGGCUAAACCAUGCACCGAAGCUGCGGCAGCGAACGUAUCACCCAAGACAACUUUGCGGAGUUGACGAUUGACGGAGCGAAGCGACGUCAAAGCGUUCAUUAAAGUCGAGUUGGCUUAGGGAUACGUUCGUUGGGUAGGGGAGCGUUCUGUAAGCCUGUGAAGGUGUGUCGUGAGGCAUGCUGGAGGUAUCAGAAGUGCGAAUGCUGACAUAAGUAACGAUAAAGCGGGUGAAAAGCCCGCUCGCCGGAAGACCAAGGGUUCCUGUCCAACGUUAAUCGGGGCAGGGUGAGUCGACCCCUAAGGCGAGGCCGAAAGGCGUAGUCGAUGGGAAACGGGUUAAUAUUCCCGUACUUGGUGUUACUGCGAAGGGGGGACGGAGAAGGCUAUGUUGGCCGGGCGACGGUUGUCCCGGUUUAAGCGUGUAGGUGUGUGUUCCAGGUAAAUCCGGUUCACUUUAACACUGAGGCGUGACGACGAGGCACUACGGUGCUGAAGCAACAAAUGCCCUGCUUCCAGGAAAAGCCUCUAAGCAUCAGGUAACAUCAAAUCGUACCCCAAACCGACACAGGUGGUCAGGUAGAGAAUACCAAGGCGCUUGAGAGAACUCGGGUGAAGGAACUAGGCAAAAUGGUGCCGUAACUUCGGGAGAAGGCACGCUGACACGUAGGUGAAGUGAUUUACUCAUGGAGCUGAAGUCAGUCGAAGAUACCAGCUGGCUGCAACUGUUUAUUAAAAACACAGCACUGUGCAAACACGAAAGUGGACGUAUACGGUGUGACGCCUGCCCGGUGCCGGAAGGUUAAUUGAUGGGGUCAGCGCAAGCGAAGCUCCUGAUCGAAGCCCCGGUAAACGGCGGCCGUAACUAUAACGGUCCUAAGGUAGCGAAAUUCCUUGUCGGGUAAGUUCCGACCUGCACGAAUGGCGUAAUGAUGGCCAGGCUGUCUCCACCCGAGACUCAGUGAAAUUGAACUCGCUGUGAAGAUGCAGUGUACCCGCGGCAAGACGGAAAGACCCCGUGAACCUUUACUAUAGCUUGACACUGAACAUUGAGCCUUGAUGUGUAGGAUAGGUGGGAGGCUUUGAAGCGUGGACGCCAGUCUGC
rnacentral:rRNA from 1 species